rnacentral:rRNA from 1 species
CCUAGAAGUGGGGAAUAACUCAGGGAAACUUGAGCUAAUACCGCAUACGCCCACUCCGCGAGAGCGGUGUGCGCAAAGAUGGCCUCUUCAUGAAAGCUGUCGCUUCUAGAGGGAUCCGCGGCUGAUUAGCUAGUUGGUGAGGUAACGGCUCACCAAGGCGACGAUCAGUAGCCGGCCUGAGAGGGUGAUCGGCCACACUGGAACUGAGACACGGUCCAG